rnacentral:rRNA from 1 species
UACGCAGGGGGCUAGCGUUGUUCGGAAUCACUGGGCGUAAAGCGCACGCAGGCGGAUCGUUAAGUCAGGGGUGAAAUGCCGAGGCUCAACCUCGGAACUGCCUUUGAUACUGGCGAUCUUAGAGUCCGGGAGAGGUGAGUGGAACUCCGAGUGUAGAGGUGAAAUUCGUAGAUAUUCGGAAGAACACCAGUGGCGAAGGCGGCUCACUGGCCCGGUACUGACGCUCAGGUGCGAAAGCGUGGGGAGCAAACAGG